rnacentral:rRNA from 1 species
AGUGAACGCUGGCGGUAGGCCUAACACAUGCAAGUCGAACGGCAGCACUGUAAGAGCUUGCUCUUACGGGUGGCGAGUGGCGGACGGGUGAGGAAUACAUCGGAAUCUACUUUUUCGUGGGGGAUAACGUAGGGAAACUUACGCUAAUACCGCAUACGACCUACGGGUGAAAGCAGGGGAUCUUCGGACCUUGCGCGAUUGAAUGAGUCGAUGUCGGAUUAGCUAGUUGGCGGGGUAAAGGCCCACCAAGGCGACGAUCCGUAGCUGGUCUGAGAGGAUGAUCAGCCACACUGGAACUGAGACACGGUCCAGACUCCUACGGGAGGCAGCAGUGGGGAAUAUUGGACAAUGGGCGCAAGCCUGAUCCAGCCAUACCGCGUGGGUGAAGAAGGCCUUCGGGUUGUAAAGCCCUUUUGUUGGGAAAGAAAAGCAGCAGGUUAAUACCCCGCUGUUCUGACGGUACCCAAAGAAUAAGCACCGGCUAACUUCGUG